rnacentral:tRNA from 1 species
UUUACCAAAACCAUUAGGUGUUUUGUUGUUACCAAAAUUAUUGGCUGUGAGUUAAUGGCCUGGUAUGU